rnacentral:pre_miRNA from 1 species
UUCUCGAGGAAAGAAGCACUUUCUGUUGUCUGAAAGAAAAGAAAGUGCUUCCUUUCAGAGGGU